GCCUGGCUGGCUCAGUCAGUAGAGCAUGUGACUCUUGAUCUUGGGGUUUUGAGUUCAAGUCCCAUGUAGGGUA
rnacentral:tRNA from 1 species